rnacentral:rRNA from 1 species
UACGGGGGGGGCAAGCGUUGUUCGGAAUUACUGGGCGUAAAGGGCUCGUAGGCGGCCAACUAAGUCAGACGUGAAAUCCCUCGGCUUAACCGGGGAACUGCGUCUGAUACUGGAUGGCUAGAGGUUGGGAGAGGGAUGCGGAAUUCCUGGUGUAGCGGUGAAAUGCGCAGAUAUCAGGAGGAACACCGGUGGCGAAGGCGGAUCUCUGGGCCUUGCCUGACGCUGAGGCGCGAAAGCUAGGGGAGCGAACAGG